rnacentral:sRNA from 1 species
AACAGCAAUGGCGCAGUAUCCUAGUCAGCCUUACCGAUUUCGAGGAAGGGCCUAAAAAUCCUUUAAAGGGCAUACCUGUGAAUCCCGUGGUGUCUGCUUCUUACGCCCAGUUUGGGGUGGAUGCUGGGGGAAGGCGUCCCAACGCCUGCAGCGGACGGGCAAUCUCUAAUGGCAUGGAGCAUCAUGACCCGGUCGCUGUGGAGACCGGAUACUGUGCAUCGGCGUACUCCCAACGUGGUAUGCGACCGGUGUACGGUACCGGAUGAGAACCUGCAUUGCGGUGCUACCCGGCUUCGGCCGUGAACGCUGUGUGCAGCGUAGCCUGCCUUGCGUGAGCAGGUCGGGAAAGGAAAGCUAUGCGACUUUUGCUGCAGGGCCUUGCAGCAAGAGCGUUAUUUCCUUGAAAGUCUGCUUGCAAAAGAGGAUUAGAAUCGGAUCGGGCUGCUGUGGAAAUCACCUAGGCUGUCAGUUUUGGGCCUGCAGGGGAAUGCAGUGCGGACUAAGUGGCAAUCGGGUAGCGGCAAUGGCAACAUGCCGACUUGGACAUGAAAGGGAAACCACCUCCUUCGGUGACGAGAGGCUGUCCAUGGGGAAAACAAACCCGACCUAAGCCGUAAGAUUAACCCUGUCGGCUGCCAUUGCUUUUCUA